AUAAAUAUUGUAUUUUCCUUUCAUUUAUUCUAUUUCUAAUGCUCUUCAUUUCUUUGUGUGGCUUCUAGUUUCUGAUUACAUCCAAUUUCCUCUGUCUGAAGAACCGCCUGAAACAUUUCUCACAGAGUAAGUCUCCUGACAAUAAAUUUCUUUCCUUUUUGAUUGUCUGAGAAAGUCUUUAUUUCUUUUUCACUUUUGAAGGAUAUUUUUGGAGUGUAUAGAAGAAUUCUACGUUGGACGCUUUUUUCUCUCAGCACUUUAGAGAGGUCACUUCAUUGUCUUCUGGGUUUCAUAGUUUCUGAUGAGACAUGGCUUGAUUCUUAUCUUUGUUCCUUGAUAGAUAACUUGUCUAUUUGUUACAGGAACGUGGUCCCAAUCCGGACCCCAGAGAAAGAUCUUGGAUCUCAUGCAAGACAGAAUUCAGGGCCUCCUGACCAC
rnacentral:lncRNA from 1 species